UACAGAGGUCUCAAGCGUUGUUCGGAUUCAUUGGGCGUAAAGGGCGCGUAGGCGGCGGGGUAAGUCUGGUGUGAAAUCUCGGAGCUCAACUCCGAAAUUGCACUGGAUACUGCUCUGCUUGAGGGUUGGAGAGGAGAUCGGAAUUCACGGUGUAGCAGUGAAAUGCGUAGAUAUCGUGAGGAAGACCAGUGGCGAAGGCGGAUCUCUGGACAAAUCCUGACGCUGAGGCGCGAAGGUUAGGGGAGCAAACGGG
rnacentral:rRNA from 1 species